UACAGAGGUGGCAAGCGUUGUUCGGAAUGAUUGGGCGUAAAGCGUCCGCAGGUGGCUAUGUAAGUCUGCUGUUAAAGAGUGAGGCUCAACCUCAUAAGAGCAGUGGAAACUACAUGGCUAGAGUGCGUUCGGGGCAGAGGGAAUUCCUGGUGUAGCGGUGAAAUGCGUAGAGAUCAGGAAGAACACCGGUGGCGAAAGCGCUCUGCUAGGCCGCAACUGACACUGAGGGACGAAAGCUAGGGGAGCGAAUGGG
rnacentral:rRNA from 1 species